GGCCAAGUUUGUUCUGGUAUAAGCUUUCGUGUGCAUGCACACUUCUUCAUAGACAGAAGAUUCCAGGAUCUGAAGAAGUCUGCAUGCACACGAAAGUUUAUACCAGAACAAACUUAG